rnacentral:rRNA from 1 species
UGCGCAGGUGGGCUUGUAAGUCAGUGGUGAAAUCUUGCCGCUUAACGGUAAAAUUGCCAUUGAUACUGCAAGUCUUGAGUAUGGUUGAGGUAGGUGGAAUGUGUUGUGUAGCGGUGAAAUGCAUAGAUAUGACACAGAACGCCGAUUGCGAAGGCAGCUUACUAAGCCAUUAUUGACGCUGAGGCACGAAAGCGUGGGGAGCGAACAGGAUUAGAUACCCUGGUAGUCC